rnacentral:rRNA from 1 species
CGUAACAAGGUCUCCGUUGGUGAACCAGCGGAGGGAUCAUUACCGAGUUUACAACUCCCAAACCCCUGUGAACAUACCACUUGUUGCCUCGGCGGAUCAGCCCGCUCCCGGUAAAACGGGACGGCCCGCCAGAGGACCCCUAAAACUCUGUUUCUAUAUGUAACUUCUGAGUAAAACCAUAAAUAAAUCAAAACUUUCAACAACGGAUCUCUUGGUUCUGGCAUCGAUGAAGAACGCAGCAAAAUGCGAUAAGUAAUGUGAAUUGCAGAAUUCAGUGAAUCAUCGAAUCUUUGAACGCACAUUGCGCCCGCCAGUAUUCUGGCGGGCAUGCCUGUUCGAGCGUCAUUUCAACCCUCAAGCACAGCUUGGUGUUGGGACUCGCGUUAAUUCGCGUUCCUCAAAUUGAUUGGCGGUCACGUCGAGCUUCCAUAGCGUAGUAGUAAAACCCUCGUUACUGGUAAUCGUCGCGGCCACGCCGUUAAACCCCAACUUCUGAAUGUUGACCUCGGAUCAGGUAGGAAUACCCGCUGAACUUAAGCAUAUCA